CCUACGGGGGGCAGCAGUGAGGAAUAUUGGUCAAUGGCCGGGAGGCUGAACCAGCCAAGUCGCGUGAGGGAAGACGGCCCUACGGGUUGUAAACUUCUUUUGUCAGGGAGUAAGGUGCAGGACGGGACCUGCUGUGAGUGUACCUGAAGAAAAAGCAUCGGCUAACUCCGUGCCAGCAGCCGCGGUAAUACGGAGGAUGCGAGCGUUAUCCGGAUUUAUUGGGUUUAAAGGGUGCGUAGGUGGAGGCAUAAGUCAGUGGUAAAAUCGUGGGGCUCAACC
rnacentral:rRNA from 1 species